rnacentral:tRNA from 1 species
GGUAAGGUGGCCGAAGCAGGUGCCGAGUUGUAGCCUCGGUUAUAAAGGUCAAUCCCUUUUCUUAUCA